CCUCCUCCUGCUGCUGCUGCACAAGAUUUGAUUGAAAUGGAAAUCUGUGGGUUUUGUGGUUGUGGUACCUGCUUAGUAAAUAACAAAAAAAGAUUUUUGAUGUAGGGGUUUAGUAGUGUGGUGGGUUCAUCUUCUAUCAAUGCUUUAAUUCCUGAUAAUUUAUAAACAAUCUUCUUCUUCUUCUUCUUCUUCUUCUUCAGAGAAUUAAUUGCAGCCAUAGAUUCCUCAUCCUCUCUCUGUCUGUCUGUCUGUCUGUCAGUCAGUUAUAUAUAUACAAGUUUUACCCAUUUUGUCUUCCGGGUAUGGACUUACUUUGCUGCAAGCUCUGGGGAUUGGAGCUUUCUUGAAGCUCUGUGUAGUGAAUGGAAGUGUAGUUGAUUCAAGAAUUCAAAGAGGAUAUGGCUGGGAACAUACAGCAGUUGUUAAGCCUCUCGAUCAGUUAAGCUUCAGUUCCAUCUGUAAGAUAGAUAAUAAGGAGAACGGAUAACAUUUUGCUGCAACUUCAUCAUCUCUCUCAAUUUCCUUCUUUUUCUUCUUCUUCACCAGAGAUGAAGAUGAAUAAGAGGAAGAAGCGGACUGAGCAGCAGGAAUUAGGUGAGGAGGAUGAUUAAAGGUUUACUUCGAAUUUCAUUUCUGCAAACACACAAACAGCUUCAUUUAUCAUCCUAUUAUGUUUUGCAACCCUAACUACUUUUUGUGUUUCUUCUUCUUCUUCUUAAUGAAAUACUGGAGAAUGAACUAUAAUGAAAUACUAUUACUUACUAAUUAAUAGUCUGUAUGGGUAUGGUAUGGUAUAACAUGAAGAAUGAGAAACAAAUGUUUCAUCUCAAACACUGUUGCAAUGAGAAAAUAACUAGUUAGUGAUUUCAUCUCAUUCAUGUUGCCCAUUAAUUAUUAUAUAUUAAGCAUUACAACACAUUGACAAUAUUCUUCACUACCCCCUUCUUCCUUUAUAUAGUAUUCCUUAGGACAGCCACUAAUGUAAUAAUAAUAAUAAUAAUAAUAAUAAUAAUAAUAAAAGGAUGAUGCUGGCAUUAUUAUUGAUUCAAUAUACAUAGUUUUAUUUAUUUAUUUAUUUGUUAUUUUAAAGCAGAGAAGAGGUGGAUGGGAUCUUUCUUGCUUGCUGAUACUAAUGCAAUUAGGAAAGAAAGUGGAAGAAGAAGAAGAAGAAGAUGGAGAUGCAUUUUAAGUCUCCUCCUCAGUCUGAGAGUGAGGGGAGGGGAGGAGGAGGCCCUUUUCCUGGAAACUUAGGAUGCAGUCAUCAAACAUUUGAGCUAGAGUCUUGAAAGGAGGAAGACCCAACUGAAGAAUCUUGGUGGAGUCCAUGGUGUGUGGGUUGCUGUCUCCUUCCUUGGUGCUGCACUUGUGUGUGUAGGGGUAUGAUGGAUAUUUGGCUUUAAGAAUUUGGAUGAUCUGUGACCAGUGAUGGACUGUGGAUGAACAGAUGAGUCUGCCGGAUGCUUUAGGUUCCUCCAUAGCCAAGAUAUGAGCAGCAAUAACAUCGUCUAUAUGGACAAACCCUAUUGUUGUAUUGGGGUAUUCUUCUAGCUGACCUGUUGCAACAGUGUAAAGUUGUUGUUGUUGUUGUUGUAAUGAAGAAGAAGAAGAAGAAGAGAUAAAAAGAGCUUUAAUUACCUGUAAGAAUGGAGAGAAUGAGUUGGAGAGUGCUGGUUGGUGUUGGAGCAAGUAAUGGACCAACUACAAAAGAGGGAUUCACAACAACUAAAUCAAUCCCAUUUUCGGAGGCUGUCCUCCACGCAUCCUUUUCCGCUAUCGUUUUGGCAUAUGCGUACCACAACUACACCACCAAGUAUAUAUAUAUAUAUAAUAGUAGGAGACCGAUCGAUAUUCAGGAUAAACAAAUUAAUAAACUGUUUAGAAGAUUAUAUAGUACAUUGUUAGCCUUGCAGUAGUCCAAGUCGGUCCAGUGGGAUUCGUUGAGAGAAGAAGCAUUGUGGUGUUGGUGUCCAUAUCUGAUUGAAGAACAAGAUGAGGUGAGCACCACUCUUUUGACACUAUUACUAGCCUUUUUGCAAGAUCUCAAGACAUUAGCAGUUCCCUUUAUGCAUGGAUCGAUUAAACUUGUCUGCAAGUAUCAUCUCAUGCACUUAAUUUGUGUUUGAACAAGUAAGAGAGAGAAAGUAAAAGUUGUUCUUAAUUAAUUAAUUAAUUAAUUAAUUGCCUGAAUGUUUUGAUCAUAGGGGACAAGGACAGGAGAUGCUGUGUGGAAGACACCAUGAACACCAUGUAUGGCUUCGUCAAAGCUUCCUUCCACCAUUAAAUCGGCUUUGAAUAUCUUAAGCCUUUCCUUGGCUCCUUGUAAUUGCCAUAGGUAACCACCGGCCACCUUUUCUAGUGGUCCACACCACACAAAUCUACUUAAGACGAAGAAGAAGAAGAAGAAAACUAAUUAAAAAAAAAAAAAAUACCUGGAUCCCGGACAGUGGCCCGGACUGUGUGGCCCUUUUCCAGCAGCGAUUUCACCAAGUAGGCCGCGAUAAACCCUGUACCCCCUGUCACGCAGUACUCCUCCAGCUCCUUACUCUUCUUCUCCAUUCUUUUUUCUCUUUGUCGUGGAUUGUGUGGCUGUGGUUGUGGUCACUGCUACUUAAUUAGAUUAUAAGAGAGAGAGAGACGAUGAGAGUCAUGAGUUGUUGUAUUCAGUUUGGUAGAAAAACAGGUGUGUCAUGAAAAAAAACAGUAAUGACACCUCAUAUUUUUGUUUUGUUA